AGCAGUAGCCGCGGGAAAACGGAGGGUGCAAGCGUUAUCCGGAUUUAUUGGGUUUAAAGGGUCCGUAGGCGGAUCUGUAAGUCAGUGGUGAAAUCUCACAGCUUAACUGUGAAACUGCCAUUGAUACUGCAGGUCUUGAGUAAAUUUGAAGUGGCUGGAAUAAGUAGUGUAGCGGUGAAAUGCAUAGAUAUUACUUAGAACACCAAUUGCGAAGGCAGGUCACUAAGAUUUAACUGACGCUGAUGGACGAAAGCGUGGGGAGCGAACAGGAUUAGAUACCCCCGUAGUCCCUGUCUCUUAUAC
rnacentral:rRNA from 1 species